rnacentral:rRNA from 1 species
UCCGGCGCUUCGGGAGAGGCCUGCGGUCCAUCAGACUUAGUUGGCUACGGUAACGGUCUACCUAAGGCAGAGACGGGUAGGGGGCGUGAGAUCGCGGACCCCCACAUCCGGCACUGAAAUACUGGCCAGACUCCUACGGGAGGCAGCAGUAAGGGAUAUUGCGCAAUGGACGAAAGUCAGACGCAGCGACGCCGUGUGGGCGAUGAAGGCCUUCGCGCUUGUACAGCCCUUUUAUGGGGGACGCAGAAAAAGGACGGUACCCCAGGAAUAAGUCCCGGCUAACUACGUGCCAGCAGCCGCGGUACAAUGUAGGGGACAAGCGUUCUCCGGAUUCACUGGGCGUGAAGAGCGUUGAGGCUGUUCCGUAAGUUGGGUGUGAAAGCUCCGGGCUUAACUCGGAGAUGUCGUUCAAUACUGCGGGGCUUGAGGACAGCAGAGGAAGGUGGCAUUCCCGGUGUAGUGGUCAAAUGCGUAGAUAUCGGGAGGAACACCCGUGGCGAACGCGGCUUCUGGGCUGUCCUGACGCUGAAUGCGACCGCUAGGGGAGCGAA